rnacentral:lncRNA from 1 species
CCAUUGUUAAAUUAGUUGGGUUUUCCUGGACCAGUUAUUUGCAAGAGUUUCCUUUGGUCAGAAAGGCAUUUUAGUAGUAUUCCAGCUACUUGAUUUUCAUACUGCAAAUCUAGAUUUUUCUUGAUUACCCCAAAUUCUACGUCUCUGUGAUUCUUCAUAUAACCCCACUUUCUCUGUUUCUAUAAAACAAACCCAGUCCAGGAUUCCUGCUGCUAGCAGUUCACCUCUGUUCCUGUUCCUGCUGUUCAAGAAAAUAUAUAGAUAUUUCACCUUUGGUUGUGCCUCUCAUCUUCCGAAAGGUAAUAAAAGGACCCUCAAGCUCUGAUGUAUGAGCUGCUUGGACUCAAAGAGAUGUUUUAAGAUUAUUCAACAAAGAAAUAACAGUGCUUUCUCCAUGUACUGUGAAACACAUCCAUCUGGAUCCACCUAUUUAAGCUACAUGCCUAGCCUCCAGAGUCAUCCAGACUUUUAGCAUAAGAACUCAAAUGAGAAAUCAUGAAGAAUGCAUUAACUGAAUCCAAUAUCACCUACAGGACCCUGGGCCCAUUGCACUUUGUAAUUGUAUUACUUUUCUUCUGGUUAUCUUCAUAGGAUCUUAGGUAUACUCUCUCUGAAAAGUGUUAAAGACAACUUCUCCCUGGGCCUGAGAAUAAAUUAUCUUUUUCCUAUCGCUGUAUAUUUUUGUUUGUUUGUCUCGUUUUUUUGUUUUUUGUUUUUUCCUGGCUGGAUAGGGAAGUGAUCAAGCCACAAGUGAGGAGCUGCAGUGGCCCAUGAACAAUACAUAGGUCCAUCUCCUGGAACUUGUGACCACUCGCCCAGGAUCGCACUCAUGGCCACAACAAAGAUGAUGGCUUUUCUGUUUCUCCGGCUGCACCACAUCAGACACCUGUGGCAAAUAUUGAGGCAACACUAUGUGAAGUCUGACUAGUGACUCUUAGAGACUCCAACUAAUGGCUUCUCUGGGAGGGAUAAAAUAGGGCACAUGAAAUUAUCUUGUUGAGAAUACAUAGGUAUGUUUAUAGACUCACAUAUAUUUCAUUUAUAAAUAUAAAAUUAUUUUAGACUGAGUUACAAUUUUUAUGGUAAAAAUAAGUAGAAUAAUAGCAUUUAAAUAAUACUUUUAAACUUUUUCAUAUUCUUUCCUAAAUACCUUGAUUAACAUUUAUUUGGUAACAUUAUUUGUCCCAUUCUUUAAAAAGAAGGAAAAUAGGCUAUGAGAAAGUAAGUACAUUCAAGUUCCAAUUAUUCUUAAUAUGUUGUAUCAUAGUAUGUCAUUUGCAUCAAAGUCAGUUACACAGCAAACUAACCAACUGCACAAACAAAAAUAAUAAUAUGAAAGUAGAAAUUUACAUUUGAAACUCUUAACUACCAUCGGUACCAAAUAUACUUUUGGUUAUCUUGUCAAAUUAUAGGGAUGAGUGGCUGAGACCAUGCAGGUAUGUUCGGUAGGGUUGAAUGGAGUGUUAGAGUGUUGCUAUUGGCCUUGAAAUAGAUUGAUUUUUUUUUCUUUUUUUUGCCUUCUACCUGGGAUCAUGGUCUCUGCCUUACUUGCACAGGGUCCUCAUUAUCAAAGCAGAUUAUCUGGCUCAUAUUACACAAUAUGUUAAAUAGCUUACUUCUUUAAAUAUACACACUUUCACCAUAUUCAAAUGUGAAUACUCAGAGCUUAAAAACACUCAUGAGAUUUUAUUAAAAACAAUUUCAAUUAAAAAUAAAAUUGUGUUUUAACCUUUAUGUGUUUCCCAGG